rnacentral:misc_RNA from 1 species
GAAAUGCGAUAAGUAAUGCGAAUUGCAGAAUUCAGUGAAUCAUCGAAUCUUUGAACGCACAUUGCGCCCCCUGGUAUUCCGGGGGGCAUGCCUGUUCGAGCGUCAUUUCACCACUCAAGCCUCGCUUGGUAUUGGGCAACGCGGUCCGCCGCGUGCCUCAAAUCGACCGGCUGGGUCUUCUGUCCCCUAAGCGUUGUGGAAACUAUUCGCUAAAGGGUGCUCGGGAGGCUACGCCGUAAAACAAACCCAUUUCUAAGGUUGACCUCGGAUCAGGUAGGGAUACCCGCUGAACUUAAGC